CACGUCACCGGAUUUUUCUCCGCCGUCCGAUCUGGAAUGCGCGUUUGGAUGGGCGGGGGCUCUCCAUCGCACGCGUGGAGGCGCCGCGGUCGAGCUGUGCGCCACGCGCUCCCCUUCCCAGCCUCUACCGCUGCCCUUGAAUCCGUCGGCGAGCUGGCCGCUCCCCACCUCCCGUGACCUCCCCUGGAUUCCUCUUCCUCGUCGGGCGCCCCCGCCGGCCGCUCCCCUUCUCGCCGCUCUUCCCUCUCGCGUCUAUCGGUGUUCCGUCGCUCUUCUUGGUCGCUCCCCAGAACACUAGCCCGCUCUCUCCGCCUCGACAGCCGUCGGUGGCUCUAACGCCGGCGGGUGGUGCGGCGAGCCCUCGCCCGGCGGCUGACGGAACCGGCGGUGUCUCGCAGUGCUGUGGCUAGGGCCCGGUCCGUUGAAGGUGGCGGACGGUGCCGGCGGUUGAAGGUGGCGGACGGUGCUGGCGGCGGACGGCGGGUGCAGCAGGUGGCGGCUGACGCUAGAGGCUGGGGCGGCGAAGGCGGUGGUGGUCUUCCUCCUCGCCCUUGGACUCUCCGCUCGCCGCGGCGAACUCUGAUCUCCCGCCGUCGCCGGCCGCCGUAUUUGCUGCUGUUCCGGUAAGCAGCUGCAUCAGCAGAUUUCUUCCAUGGCUGUGGAGGGGGGUUCUCAUGGCCACCGGCUGCUCUCCCACCAUCAUAGCCUUCAUCAAGUACUGGGGGAAGCGGGAUGAGGCGCUCAUCCUCUCCAUCAACGACAGCAUCAGUGUCACCCUCGACCCCGACCAUCUCUCCGCCACCAUGUCAGGUCCUCAGAGCAAGUGCCAGAGCCUGUGUCAGAAGAAGGUUGUUCCG